rnacentral:rRNA from 1 species
AUUGAACGCUGGCGGCAGGCCUAACACAUGCAAGUCGAGCGGUAACACAGGGAGCUUGCUCCCGGGUGACGAGCGGCGGCCGGGUGAGUAAUGCCUGGGAAACUGCCUGAUGGAGGGGGAUAACUACUGGAAACGGUAGCUAAUACAGUAUAAUGUCGCAAGACCAACGACGGGGACCUCCGGGCCUUUUGCCAUCAGAUGUUCCACGAUUGGAUUAGCUAGUAGGUAGGGUAACGGCUCACCUAGGCCACGAACCCUGGCUGGUCUGAAAGGAUGACCAGCCGCACUGGAACUGGGACACGGUCCAGACUCCUACUGGAGACAGCAGUUGGGAAUAUUGCACAAUGGGCGCAAGCCUGAUGCAGCCAUGCCGCGUGUAUGAAGAAGGCCUUCGGGUUGUAAAGUACUUUCAGCGGGGAGGAGGGUGUUGAGGUUAAUAACCUCAGCAAUUGACGUUACCCGCAGAAGAAGCACCGGCUAACUCCGUGCCAGCCGCCGCCGUAA